AUCUGUUGCUAGUGCUCGCGCUGGAGCACACACUCCAUAGGGAUGGAUGUGAGCGAGUGAGCAUCGACCAAAACAAUGAUGUAACGUACAAGAGGCUGAACGUGAAUCACCGGCAUCAUGAUCACAGAUGAGCGGUCACAUUGCUUUAGAAGACAUUCAUUUAACCACUGGAGGUGUAUGGCUUACUUUUACUACGACUGUCUGACUCUGUGCUUUUCGGAGCUUUAAAGUGCUGAUCACCAUCCACCUGUAUUGUAUGGACCUACGGAGCUGAGAUAUUCUUCUAAAAAUCUUUGAUUGUGUUCUGCUGAAGAAAGAAAGUCAUACACAUCUGGGAUGGCAUGAAGUGGCAUCCCUUUCAGUUGGGAAAAGAACAGAGGAUUUGGAGAUUUUCGUUGCUAUGGCAACCACAACUGUACGCUGCGAGAAGUGCACGCAUGUCUUCCGUCCUAAAGCCCAUAGCAAGAAGAUCUGCUCGUGGAUUUUUGAUUAAUCCGUGACAACGGAAACUGUAGCCUCUCAUAACAAUGUCAUA